UCUUCCUUAAUCCCAAAGACAUUUCAGAAGAAGGAACCUUUUUGUGCUUCAGUUAUCUUGAGGUACAAAACAAUCCUGCUUCCAAUCCAGAUCGAACA
rnacentral:sRNA from 1 species